GUCGUGUGACCGCAUUUAGAGCGAAGAAUGAAACUGCAGCGACUCCAGACUCAGAUCAGCUGUGGUGGCUUCUGGCUGUUUUCAUCAUCAUUGUUCUGGUAUUUCUCGGUUUCUUGCUGCGUAAAAGGAUCUUCAG